GGGAAAUUAAACAAUCAGAUUUUUAACGACCUUUUUUGUCCAGUCUUAAGACAAGAGGGGAACACGACGCAGUUUUUUUCUUUCGGGUUUCUUUCAAAUAAUCUGUGAAAGUAAAAAAGAAAGGCUUUUGGAAAGAA
rnacentral:ribozyme from 13 species